rnacentral:misc_RNA from 1 species
AUCUAAGUCAGUAAAAUUGCUGAGACAUGGCGGAGAGACGCGAUGAUAGGAGUUACACGUAUGACCCUGUGUACCGCCAUCUUCUGAGGGCCAGGGAGCUAAGUCAACUUAACGACGUCCCUCAGGACCUGAAGGCUGAAAUCAACAGGGCUGUAGAGUUGUUACAGCAAAGAUGCCUAUAUUGUGAAGACCAAACAACAAAGCCUAGUCCGGCCCUUGACCAUCUGAUUAAGGAGACCUUCGCUUAUCCGUGGGAAGAUGCUCACAAAGAAGGCAGGGUGUCAUACUAUGCGACUCCCAGGAUGUUGACAGGGAAUGAUGAAGCCCAGUUAAUAAAACUGAUAACAAGUGCCAGCAAGGCUAACAUGGCACUGGAAGUUGGACUUUACACUGGUUGUUCCUCACUUGCGAUGGCGGAAGCGCUUCCUAAAGACGGCAAAGUGGUCUCUUUGGAAAUUGAGAGAGGCAUCGCGGAUGUGGCAAGAUCUUUUCUAGAUAGAUCACCAGUAGGGAAUAAAAUCGAAAUUAUGAUAGGACCAGCUAUAAACAGCUUGGAAAUCUUGGCGGAGAAACGAAUGAAAUUUGAUGUAAUUUUCAUCGAUGCCGAUAAAAAAGGAUAUGUUUAAUAUUACAAGACGAUUUUUGAAAAAGAUCUGCUAGCUUCAGAGGGAACGAUCAUUGUGGAUAAUGUUUUGAGAGGUGGAGACCCCUACUCGGGAGAGAAGUAUGCAUCUGAUUCAGAUGCGAUAGUGGAGUUUAACGACAUGGUUCUCCGCGAUAAAAAUGUCCACAAGGUGAUGAUUCCUGUGAGAGAUGGAGUAUACCUCAUCAGGAGGAUGAUGGACACGGAGAAAGCCUAAUCACGCUGUACUGAUUUAUAUAGCAAUGUUAAUUGAUUAUAGC